rnacentral:tRNA from 1 species
AUUUAUAAAGUAUAUUAUUGUAUAUAUGACUUCCAAUCAUAAGGACUAAACAAAUUUAGUAUAAAUA